AACGAACGCUGGCGGCAUGCCUAACACAUGCAAGUCGAACGAGAUCUUCGGGUCUAGUGGCGCACGGGUGCGUAACGCGUGGGAAUCUGCCCUUUGGUUCGGAAUAACAGUUGGAAACGACUGCUAAUACCGGAUGAUGACGAAAGUCCAAAGAUUUAUCGCCAGAGGAUGAGCCCGCGUAGGAUUAGCUAGUUGGUGGGGUAAAGGCGCACCAAGGCGACGAUCCUUAGCUGGUCUGAGAGGAUGAUCAGCCACACUGGGACUGAGACACGGCCCAGACUCCUACGGGAGGCAGCAGUGGGGAAUAUUGGACAAUGGGCGAAAGCCUGAUCCAGCAAUGCCGCGUGAGUUAUGAAGGCCUUAGGGUUGUAAAGCUCUUUUACCCGGGAUGAUAAUGACAGUACCGGGAGAAUAAGCUCCGGCUAACUCCGUGCCAGCCGCCGCAGUAA
rnacentral:rRNA from 1 species